UUGCUACUGAUCUUAGCGGCGGACGGGUGAGUAAUGCUUAGGAAUCUGCCUAUUAGUGGGGGACAACAUUUCGAAAGGAAUGCUAAUACCGCAUACGUCCUACGGGAGAAAGCAGGGGAUCUUCGGACCUUGCGCUAAUAGAUGAGCCUAAGUCGGAUUAGCUAGUUGGUGGGGUAAAGGCCUACCAAGGCGACGAUCUGUAGCGGGUCUGAGAGGAUGAUCCGCCACACUGGGACUGAGACACGGCCCAGACUCCUACGGGAGGCAGCAGUGGGGAAUAUUGGACAAUGGGCGCAAGCCUGAUCCAGCCAUGCCGCGUGUGUGAAGAAGGCCUUAUGGUUGUAAAGCACUUUAAGCGAGGAGGAGGCUACUUUAGUUAAUACCUAGAGAUAGUGGACGUUACUCGCAGAAUAAGCACCGGCUAACUCUGUGCCAGCAGCCGCGGUAAUACAGAGGGUGCAAGCGUUAAUCGGAUUUACUGGGCGUAAAGCGCGCGUAGGCGGCUAAUUAAGUCAAAUGUGAAAUCCCCGAGCUUAACUUGGGAAUUGCAUUCGAUACUGGUUAGCUAGAGUGUGGGAGAGGAUGGUAGAAUUCCAGGUGUAGCGGUGAAAUGCGUAGAGAUCUGGAGGAAUACCGAUGGCGAAGGCAGCCAUCUGGCCUAACACUGACGCUGAGGUGCGAAAGCAUGGGGAGCAAACAGGAUUAGAUACCCUGGUAGUCCAUGCCGUAAACGAUGUCUACUAGCCGUUGGGGCCUUUGAGGCUUUAGUGGCGCAGCUAACGCGAUAAGUAGACCGCCUGGGGAGUACGGUCGCAAGACUAAAACUCAAAUGAAUUGACGGGGGCCCGCACAAGCGGUGGAGCAUGUGGUUUAAUUCGAUGCAACGCG
rnacentral:rRNA from 1 species